GGCAAUAACUGGGUCCAAGACCAAUUGAAGGGCAUCAGUCAUAGCGAUAGAGAACUUUAACCCCUGUAUCAAUUGCUUUCAAUGUCCAUGUUGUUCAUAGAUCAUUUUUAAGGUCUUGGUAUUUUGUUUUUGUGUCUUGAGCCUAGAGUGCAACUUUAGACCUCUGGUCCUGGGCCCACUGCAUUCUGCAUUUGUGCGUCCUGUAUGAAUAAUCAUGUGAGUGUUCAGGUGGCUCUUUUGUCCAAAUCUUUGACUACACUGAGAACAGACAAAUGCUUUUUGCCCUGUAUGAAUUAUCAUGUGUGUUUUCAGGUUGUCUUUUCGUCCAAAUCUUUUACCACACUCAGAACAGACAAAUGGUUUUUGUCCGGUAUGAAUUAUCCUGUGUGUGUUCAGGUUGCCCUUUUGUCCAAAUCGUUGACCACACUCAGAGCAGACAAAUGCUUUUUGCCCUGUAUGAAUUAUCAUGUGUGUGCUCAGGUUGCUCUUUUGUCCAAAUGUUUUACCACACUGAGAACA